GACGAACGCUGGCGGCGUGCUUAACACAUGCAAGUCGAACGGAAAGGCCCUGCUUUUGUGGGGUGCUCGAGUGGCGAACGGGUGAGUAACCCGUGAGUAACCUGCCCUUGACUGUGGGAUAACUUCAGGAAACUGGGGCUAAUACCGGACAGGAGCUCCUGCUGCAUGGUGGGGGUUGGAAAGUUUCGGCGGCUGGGGAUGGACUCGCGGCUUAUCAGCUUGUUGGUGGGGUAGUGGCUUACCAAGGUUUUGCCGGGCAGCCGGCCUGGUAAGGUGACCGGACGCAAUAGGACUGAGAUACAGCCCAGACUCCUACGGGAGACAGCAGUGGGGAAUAUUCCGCAAUGGGCGGAAGCCUGAUGCAGCAACGCCGCGUGCGAGAUGACGAGCAUCGGUUUGUGAGCCGCUUUCGCCUGUUACGAAGCGUGAGAGACGGUAAUGAGUAAAGAAGCACCGGCUAACUACGUG
rnacentral:rRNA from 1 species